rnacentral:rRNA from 1 species
UACGUAGGGUGCAAGCGUUGUCCGGAAUUAUUGGGCGUAAAGAGCUCGUAGGCGGUUUGUCGCGUCUGCUGUGAAAGCCCGGGCUCAACCCCGGGUCUGCAGUGGGUACGGGCAGACUAGAGUGCAGUAGGGGAGACUGGAAUUCCUGGUGUAGCGGUGAAAUGCGCAGAUAUCAGGAGGAACACCGAUGGCGAAGGCAGGUCUCUGGGCUGUAACU